AUGCGCAGUGCGGUGGUGCGGUGGCCUCAGAAGGUGGGGCGCCGACACCUGCAGCUUGUGCACAGUGGCGAGUCCAUGCAUCUCCUGCGCCCCGCAACCUUCUCCUUCCCGGCACAAACUAUUUGGGCUCUCGCAGCUCUAUCAGUUGGUUUUGGUUCUCAGAUUUUUACUUUGCCUUUUUUGCCAAAAAAAUUGGAUUCGCGAGGAAGAGUAGGAAGAUCAGGCAGAGAGGGUUUCACAUACCUCUUCUACACUGACAAGUCUUCGCUUUCCAGGAUUGCCAUGGGAGCUUUGGAUGGUGGUCUUGAUAUUCCGCACAGUGACAAGAGACUUGCUGGCUUCAAGAAGGAUAAGAAGCAGCUGGGCGCUGAGAUUCACCGCAAAUACAUCUAUGAAGGUCAUGUUGCUGACUACAUGAAGAGAGGGACGAAUCCGGCCACCAGGGCAAAAGAUCAGGGUGGAUCCAAGCCAUCACCGCCUCUCCCUUACAACCAGGUGAUAAUUGGAAAAUUGGGGGAAAUCAUGGCUAGAGCAUAUGUGAACUUGGCCUCCGGUCAUUUUAGUCAGGUUUCUGGUUUUGCUUGGGAGAGUAUCAUGAGAUAUGUGUCAAAAGAAGAAAAAAAGAUUAUGCUUCACUGUCAACUAUCUGCUGUAGAAGAACCAGAGCUGUCUGGGAUGAGGAUGUCAUCCUGCCAGCUUGCCGACGACGACAACAAAGAAAAUAGGCUCCCCCCGCUCGAAGCCGCUCCUCGCUCCCUCCCGCUCGAAGCCGCCGUCGCUGCAACUGCUUCCGGACCGCCCCGACGACUGGACGCAGUUCAGGCAGGAGACCACGAUCCGGUGCCGCCCGCUCGCCAGACCCGCUGUGCCGAGAGGUUCCUGCAGCACGGCCUCGGCCUCGAGGUAGCGGCAGAUCCGCUCGGCGACCUCCCUCCCCUUGGCGCUGUUCUGCAUCUGAUCGAAUCCAAGGUUCCGCUCGCUCUGUGCUGCGGCUGGGCGCGAUCCACCUUCCGCUCCCCAACCGGCCUCGUUCCCUGCUGA
rnacentral:rRNA from 1 species